rnacentral:rRNA from 1 species
UACAGAGGUAGCGAACGUUGUCCGGAUUCACUGGGCGUAAAGGGAUCGUAGGCGGUCACGUAAGUCAGUUGUGAAAUCGUUCUGCUCAACAGAACAAUUGCUUCUGAUACUGCGUGGCUUGAGUGCAGGAUGGGAAAUUGGAAUUUCCGGUGUAGCGGUGAAAUGCGUAGAUAUCGGAAAGAACACCUGUGGCGAAGGCGGAUUUCUGGCCUGCAACUGACGCUGAGGAUCGAAAGCCAGGGGAG